rnacentral:rRNA from 1 species
UACGUAGGUGGCAAGCGUUGUCCGGAAUUAUUGGGCGUAAAGCGCGCGCAGGUGGUUCCUUAAGUCUGAUGUGAAAGCCCACGGCUCAACCGUGGAGGGUCAUUGGAAACUGGGGAACUUGAGUGCAGAAGAGGAAAGUGGAAUUCCAAGUGUAGCGGUGAAAUGCGUAGAGAUUUGGAGGAACACCAGUGGCGAAGGCGACUUUCUGGUCUGUAACUGACACUGAGGCGCGAAAGCGUGGGGAGCGAACAG